UUUUUUUGAAUCUUCUAGCAAGACAAACGUAAGGCGUGUUUAUGCUUAUAAAUCAAGCUACUUGUCCCAACUUUUUGAUGGGUUUUCAUUUCACAAAAAUCUAGCAACUGGUCCAGAAUCCAGACGGGUCCAUUUCUUACACAAAAUUCCAAAAUAAAGAAGAAGAUAAGAAGGGUGAUGGUGUAAUAUUAGAGUUAUACAAGGGGUGUCACUGUAAUUUACCCUCGAGCCGCUCCAAAACGCGGGAAACACAGGCACACACUCUUUUUGUCUGCAAGCGUGAUCAACAAGUGAUCUCUGUCCAUUUUAUAUAAGGGUUAUCACCAUUGAAAUUAGCAUGGAUAAUGUGCAUUUAUCUCAAUGAUGGCCUUUAACAGGUAACCGUGGGAACUAUUCUGACAUUUCCUUUCCUAUCUCAACUCAACGAGUUUUUUUGUAGGUGUUAUUCAGUCUGAUCUGUUAAAUAUGUAUCAAUAGAUAUUGUUUGGUAGAAAUUCCUAAUUAUUUAGGCUUUGUUUUUCCA